CAGUAGCCACGGUAAAACGUAGGGUGCGAGCGUUAAUCGGAAUUACUGGGCGUAAAGCGGGCGCGGACGGUUACUUAAGCAGGAUGUGAAAUCCCCGGGCUCAACCUGGGAAUUGCGUUCUGAACUGGGUGGCUAGAGUGUGUCAGAGGGGGGUAGAAUUCCACGUGUAGCAGUGAAAUGCGUAGAGAUGUGGAGGAAUACCAAUGGCGAAGGCAGCCCCCUGGAUAGCACUGACGUUCACGCCCGAAAGCGUGGGGAGCAAACAGGAUUAGAGACCCCGGUAGUCCCUGUCUCUUAUACA
rnacentral:rRNA from 1 species